CUCGGCAAAUUGACACCGUAACUUCGGAAGAAGGUGUGCCUUUAGUAGGUGUAGUUGUACAAACGAAGCCCAAUGAGGCCGCAGAGAAUCGGUGGCUGCAACUGUUUAUUAAAAACACAGCACUCUGCAAAGACGAAAGUCGACGUAUAGGGUGUGACUCCUGCCCGGUGCUGGAAGAUUAAAUGAUGGGGUGCAAGCUCUUGACUGAAGUCCCAGUAAACGGCGGCCGUAACUAUAACGGUCCUAAGGUAGCGAAAUUCCUUGUCGGGUAAGUUCCGACCUGCACGAAUGGAGUAAUGAUGGCCACACUGUCUCCUCCAGAGACUCAGCGAAGUUGAAAUGUUUGUGAUGAUGCAAUCUCCCCGCGGAAAGACGGAAAGACCCCAUGAACCUUUACUGUAGCUUUACAUUGGACUUUGAACAGAUCUGUGUAGGAUAGGUGGGAGGCUUUGAAGUAAGGUCGCUAGAUCUUAUGGAGCCGACGUUGAAAUACCACCCUGGUGUGUUUGAGGUUCUAACCUUGGCCCGUGAUCCGGGUUGGGGACAGUGUAUGGUGGGCAGUUUGACUGGGGCGGUCUCCUCCCAAAGCGUAACGGAGGAGUUCGAAGGUACGCUAGUUACGGUCGGAAAUCGUGACGAUAGUGCAUUGGCAUAAGCGUGCUUGACUGCGAGACUGACAAGUCGAGCAGGUACGAAAGUAGGACAAAGUGAUCCGGUGGUUCUGUAUGGAAGGGCCAUCGCUCAACGGAUAAAAGGUACUCUGGGGAUAACAGGCUGAUACCGCCCAAGAGUUCAUAUCGACGGCGGUGUUUGGCACCUCGAUGUCGGCUCAUCUCAUCCUGGGGCUGUAGCCGGUCCCAAGGGUAUGGCUGUUCGCCAUUUAAAGAGGUACGUGAGCUGGGUUUAAAACGUCGUGAGACAGUUUGGUCCCUAUCUUCCGUGGGCGCUGCAAGAUUGAGAGAGCCUGCUCCUAGUACGAGAGGACCGGAGUGGACGCACCUCUGGUGUAUCGGUUGUCACGCCAGUGGCAUUGCCGAGUAGCUAAGUGCGGAAGAGAUAACCGCUGAAAGCAUCUAAGCGGGAAGCACGCUUCAAGAUAAGGGUUCCCACAGGAGUGUUCCUGGUAAGGUCCCCGAGAGAUGAUCGGGUUGAUAGGCCAGACGUGGACGCAUCGUAAGGUGUGGAGCUGACUGGUACUAAUAGACC
rnacentral:rRNA from 1 species